AGGACGAACGCUGGCGGCGUGCUUAACACGUGCAAGUCGAGCGGAAAGGCCUUUCGGGGUACUCGAGCGGCGAACGGGUGAGUAACACGUGAGUAAUCUGCCCAUCGCUUCAGGAUAGCCAUCGGAAACGGUGAUUAAUACUGGAUAUGACAUUCCUUCGCAUGUUGGGGUGUGGUAAAGUUUUUUCGGCGGUGGAUGUGCUCGCGGCCUAUCAGCUUGUUGGUGGGGUAAUGGCCUACCAAGGCUUUGACGGGUAGCCGGCCUGAGAGGGUGACCGGCCACACUGGGACUGAGACACGGCCCAGACUCCUACGGGAGCAGCAGUGGGGAAUAUUGGACAAUGGGCGGAAGCCUGAUCCAGCAACGCGCGUGAGGAUGACGGCUUCGGUGUAAACCUCUUCAGCACAGACGAAGUUUUGUCUUUUUGGUGUAAGUGACGGUAUGUGACGUAGAAGAAGGACCGGACCGAACUACGUGCCGAGCAGGCCCGACGGUAACU
rnacentral:rRNA from 1 species